rnacentral:rRNA from 1 species
AGUAGUCAUACGCUCGUCUCAAAGAUUAAGCCAUGCAUGUGUAAGUAUAAAUAAUUCUACUUUGGAACUGCGAAUGGCUCAUUAUAUCAGUUAUAGUUUAUUAGAAAUAGUGUACUACUUGGAUAACCGUAGUAAUUCUAGGGCUAAUACAUGAGUAAAUCCUCGACCUUUGAAGAGGUGUGUUUAUUAGUAUGAAAACCAUAUGCUUUUGCAUGAUAGUGAGUAAUAAUAACCUUUCAUAUCGCCUGUUUUAAAUAGCGAUAGUUCUUUCAAGUUUCUGCCCUAUCAGCUUUCGAUGGUAGUGUAUUGGACUACCAUGGCAGUAACGGGUAACGAAGAA